UACGAAGGGGGCUAGCGUUGCUCGGAAUCACUGGGCGUAAAGCGCACGUAGGCGGAUUGCUAAGUCAGGGGUGAAAUCCUGGAGCUCAACUCCAGAACUGCCUUUGAUACUGGCGACCUUGAGUCCGGGAGAGGUGAGUGGAACUGCGAGUGUAGAGGUGAAAUUCGUAGAUAUCGGGAGGAACACCAAUGGCGAAGGCAGCUCGCUGGAACGGUACUGACGCUGAGGCGCGAAAGCGUGGGGAGCAAACAGG
rnacentral:rRNA from 1 species